GCUUUGAGAAGCUAAUUAGCAUUGGUCUUGUAAACCAAAGACAGGAUAUAAAUCUCCCCAAAGCU
rnacentral:tRNA from 1 species